rnacentral:misc_RNA from 1 species
AACUCUUCAAGCUUUGCUUGGUGUUGGGCAUUGUUCGCCUUUGCGAACUUGCCUUGAAUAAAUUGGCAGCCAACAAUUGGGUGUUGGAGCGCAGCACAUUUUGCGUUCUUGACCUUAGUAGCUGGCGUCCAGAAAGCUUAUUUCAAC